UAGGGAAUCUUCCGCAAUGGACGACAGUCUGACGGAGCAACGCCGCGUGAGUGAAGAAGGAUUUCGGUUCGUAAAACUCUGUUGUUAGGGAAGAAAAAAUGUAUAGUAACUAUAUACAAAAGAGACGGUACCUAACCAGAAAGCCACGGCUAACUACGUGCCAGCAGCCGCGGUAAUACGUAGGUGGCAAGCGUUGUCCGGAAUUAUUGGGCGUAAAGCGCGCGCAGGUGGUUUAGAAAGUCUGAUGUGAAAGCCCACGGCUCAACCGUGGAGGGUCAUUGGAAACUAAUAAACUUGAGUGCAGGAGAGAAAAGUGGAAUUCCUAGUGUAGCGGUGAAAUGCGUAGGGAUUAGGAGGAACACCGGUGGCGAAAGCGGCUUUUUGGCCUGCAACUGACACUGAGGCGCGAAAGCGUGGGGAGCAAACAGG
rnacentral:rRNA from 1 species